rnacentral:rRNA from 1 species
CGUAGGGUGCGAGCGUUAAUCGGAAUUACUGGGCGUAAAGCGUGCGCAGGCGGUUUUGUAAGACAGGCGUGAAAUCCCCGGGCUCAACCUGGGAACUGCGCUUGUGACUGCAAGGCUAGAGUACGGCAGAGGGGGGUGGAAUUCCACGUGUAGCAGUGAAAUGCGUAGGGAUGUGGAGGAACACCAAUGGCGAAGGCAGCCCCCUGGGUCGAUACUGACGCUCAUGCACGAAAGCGUGGGUAGCAAACAGGAUUAGAUACCCUGGUAGUCCACGCCCUAAACGAUGUCAACUAGGUGUUGGGUGGGUAAAACCAUUUAGUACCGGAGCUAACGCGUGAAGUUGACCGCCUGGGGAGUACGGCCGCAAGGUUA